UUCGUCGUAUGAUGUCGUGGUCCAUGAGCAGCGGUCGGAAUUCUCGGAUGCGGUAGACGUAGUUCUGGAGAGGGAAUAAGGUGAUAAAACAUGGGAAUAAACAAAGUAUGGUUUGGAUUCUGUUAUGAAAUAAGAAAUUCAAAUUAAUGUCUAGGACAGGGAUGUACUUAGAUACCUUACUUGAUUCACACGUAGGACGAUAGUUUAAAGAACUUGAUUGAACAAUUACAUCCUCGCUCAAUGAUGUAGUUGUAAUGUUCAUAUUAGGAAAAAGAUUAGAGGUCGGGAUACCAUGAUCAUGCAAUUAACCAUAUGAAUCAACAACAAAGAUAAACAAUUUAGUGAUUGAAGUUCAAUUACGUAGUAUGAUUGUUCGUAAGACUUAACCCUAGAUAUUUACCCAUUGAUGUCCAAAGUUAUUACUUUUCCUCUUUAGUUU
rnacentral:lncRNA from 1 species